rnacentral:rRNA from 1 species
GACGAGGGGUCCAAGCGUUGUUCGGAAUCAUUGGGCGUAAAGCGGGUGUAGGUGGUUCUAUAAGUCAGGAGUGAAAGCCCCGAGCUUAACUUGGGAAGUGCUUUUGAUACUGUAGAACUUGAGUGUGGGAGAGGAUCGUGGAAUUCCAGGUGUAGUGGUGAAAUACGUAGAUAUCUGGAGGAACACCGGUGGCGAAAGCGGCUCACUGGAUCUUUUCUGACGCUGAGGCACGAAAGCUAGGGUAGCGAACGGGG